rnacentral:tRNA from 1 species
GGGGUUGUAGCUCAGUGGUAGAGCACUUACUUUACAUGUAUGAGGCACUGGGUUUGAUUAUCAGCACCA